CACUGCGCCGUCCUGACACCCGUGCUGCUGCUGCUGCUGCUGCCAGCAGCUGUGCGGCGCUGGCAGCAUGAAAAGCCCACUCCCCUCCCCUCACCUGUGUGUCAGUGGCUCGGUAAGUAUCAAAGGAGGGGGCGGAGCUACACGGACCGGAAUGGGCGGAGCUAAACGGACCAGGCUGCUGCAGUGCUGUACUGAGGGAGACAGUGGCUUAGAACCUGCAAUUGGAUAAGGAACAGUUCACCAAAAUCUUUGGCAGGGCAACAAGUGAUGAACAGACUGCAAUGCUUCUAGGAAAAGGGUUGCUACUGCAAGUGCCGAAAUGCUGGAAAAACUCUCCGCAAGCUACGAAUGUAUACAAAAUAUACUUGUUUUAUGUGUGUUGA